rnacentral:rRNA from 1 species
CCUACGGGCGGCAGCAGUAGGGAAUCUUCCACAAUGGGCGAAAGCCUGAUGGAGCAACGCCGCGUGGGUGAAGAAGGUCUUCGGAUCGUAAAACCCUGUUGUUAGAGAAGAAAGUGCGUGAGAGUAACUGUUCACGUUUCGACGGUAUCUAACCAGAAAGCCACGGCUAACUACGUGCCAGCAGCCGCGGUAAUACGUAGGGGGCGAGCGUUGUCCGGAAUGACUGGGCGUAAAGGGAGUGUAGGCGGCAUAUUAAGUUAUGUGUGAAAGCCCGCGGCUCAACCGCGGAAUUGCACAUAAAACUGGUAAGCUGGAGUGCAGGAGAGGUAAGUGGAAUUCCCGGUGUAGCGGUGGAAUGCGUAGAUAUCGGGAGGAACACCAGAGGCGAAGGCGACUUACUGGACUGUAACUGACGCUGAGGCUCGAAAGCGUGGGGAGCAAACAGGAUUAGAUACCCCUGUAGUC